rnacentral:rRNA from 1 species
GAUGAACGCUGGCGGCGUGCCUAAUACAUGCAAGUCGAGCGAACGGACGAGAAGCUUGCUUCUCUGAUGUUAGCGGCGGACGGGUGAGUAACACGUGGAUAACCUACCUAUAAGACUGGGAUAACUUCGGGAAACCGGAGCUAAUACCGGAUAAUAUUUUGAACCGCAUGGUUCAAAAGUGAAAGACGGUCUUGCUGUCACUUAUAGAUGGAUCCGCGCUGCAUUAGCUAGUUGGUAAGGUAACGGCUUACCAAGGCAACGAUGCAUAGCCGACCUGAGAGGGUGAUCGGCCACACGGGACCUGAGACACGGUCCAGACGCCUACGGGAGGCAGCAGUGGGGAUCUUUCGCAAUGGGCGAAAGCCUGACGGAGCAACGCCGCGUGAGUGAUGAAGGUCUUCGGAUCGUAAAACUCUGUUAUUAGGGAAGAACAUAUGUGUAAGUAACUGUGCACAUCUUGACGGUACCUAAUCAGAAAGCCACGGCUAACUACGUG